rnacentral:misc_RNA from 1 species
UCAAGCAAGCAUCUUAGCUAGUCGCGGGUGGCGCAGCUUUUCGAUCCAUCUACUCCCACAGCAGCACUGGUUCAAGACAUCGAGCACUCUGUCGUCUUGCGUCGCUAUAGCCGUUUUGCUCAGUGCUGAUAACAUGUCCGCCUCGUCCCCACCACCGCAGGGCGGCACUGCCACCUCCACUGUCGCGGCGCCGCCGGAGGAUGCGUCGCAGCUGUCGGCUGAUGACCUCCUGCAGCAAAUCGUCGAGCUGGUGAACAGGGAGCUGGAUCGCCGCUACUCCCUCGUCGACUUCGACGCCCUCGGCCGCAUUGAGCUGCUGCAGGUGGUGAACGACAUCUUUGCAAAGCUGCAGCCCAGCAUGAAGAUGGACAUGCACGCGGCACCGCCCGAGGAGGCCAUGCCGCGCAUGCUGGAAUUCCUCUUGAAGAUUCUUGGCUACCGCGUGCCGGUCUUCGUCCAAGGAAGUUUCCCGCAGAGCUUCGCUGACGGCGAGCCCCUCGUGGUGUACCCAACCAUGUACUGGAUCCUCACGCAUAUGGAGCUGAACGAGAAGCGCGUCUAUCUCGCCCGCUUUCUGCAGCCGUUGGACAUCCCGGACGACAUUCGUGCCCAGGAUGAGGAUGUUCGUACCCUCUUCAUGCAGUAUCAGGCGCUGCGCGGCGCCUUCAUUCAGACCCAUCAGAGGGUCGAAAAGCUCCGCUCCGCCUUCGCAGAUCCAGUGGAGACACGCCGCCAGGUCGGCGUCUUGGAGGAUGAGCGAGACCGCCUACAGGGGUACGUUGAAGCCGCCCUCAAGAAGCUGGCGGCCGUGCCGGAGAAGGAGAUGUUGCUGGCAGCCAGCAAGUCUCUCCGCAUGGCGCGUGAGGAGAGCACCAAGCUGGCCGAGCGAGAGGUGGAACAGCAGCAGGCCAAGGUGUCUUCCGAGGCACGCCGCACGGAAAUCAGCACCCGUCUGCAGAACCUCCGCCGCGACGCAGCGGACGGUCGCGUCGAGAUGAUGAUCCGGCGCAUGAAGGACGAAAUGGACACAAACCGGAUGAAGCUGCAGGACCAGCUGCCGCACGAGCUUGAGUCUGUCAAGAACGAGAACGCCGAGCUGCAGAAGCUCGUCUCGGAGCCGCUGGACAUGGUCGCACUCACCGCAAGAGAUCGCAAGCUGGACGACGAGCUGAAGGCGCUGCACGCGAAAAUCGCACAGCGGCAGCAGCCCGGCGCUGACGGGGCCUCCAUCCUGCGCUUCCGAGACCAGGUGCAGCGCGUCAUGGCGCGCAAGCAGGAGGUGCUGAACGAACUCAGCUCGCUGCAGGCCGACAACAACAAAGCCCUCAACGACAUCCGAGAACGUCAGUUGCGCAUUACGCAGCUGCAGUCCGCCACAAACAUGCUACGCAGCGAUGACUUCCGCGACUUUUCAAACCAGGUACGCGCGAAGAAGGCAGCAACGGAGGGUAUGCGCACCCGUCUCGCUGAGCUGCGCACGGAGUGGGGCACGCUGACCUUCACCGAGGCGACGCUUCAGGAGCAGUACAACGCCCUGGACGCUGCCAUUGGCGAUCUAGAGAGCAAGUUAGGCCUGCAGGGGUACAGCCGUACGGUAGAGGCUCUUUCCAAGCUGGCACACGAGAAGGACGCCAUAGAGGAGGUGAAGGGCAAAACGCUCGAGGAGCUGUCGCGCGUCGUGCAAGAGUUCACGCUCGCCAUUCGAGAGGGUCGCACUCGCCUUGCACCGCUCAUUAACGAGCUGCGCGCUGUUCGGCAGACGGCGGCGGAGGUUGAUCAAGAGUGGUCGGCGAGGAAGUCUCAGUACGAGUACCAGGAGAGCCUCUUGACUGAGGACAUCCAGAAGAUCGACGAGGACGUCACGCGCCUCAAGGAGGAGACGACGACGAGUGAGUCCCUCUACCACCGCGUUCGCACCCAGGGCCUCCUCCUCGCUGCACAGGCGAAGCGGGCAGAGGAGGAGCAGACGUACCGGACUGACCGCAACGCCUCACUAGACCCGCAGCACAAGACGUACGGUGACUACCUCGCCGAAGUGACACGCACGUUGGAGGCGCGGACGAAGGAGAUGCAAGGCAAGCGGCGCGACCUCGAGGAGACGCACGACACCAGCGUGCGGCAGGUGGAGUGGUUCAACGCGCUCCGCACGAUUCUUCAGGCCAAGCUGAAGAGCAUCCAGGCAGAGGCGCCGUCUGCAGGCGCGAGGACUCGCGACAACACCAUCGAUGACGACAUUCAGCAAGUCAUGGGGCGUGCCGGUGGGACCAAUAUGCUUGUGCUGAACAGCAACUAAGCCGAUGGCAGCGCUCCUGCCCCCCCUCCCCCCAUGACCUUCACCCCGCUGGUCAGGGAGGUUGCUCAGAUGUACACUAUACAAAGAAGGGAAAAGAUGCGUAAGCGCGCUCCCGGGGUGGGAUAUGGCCUGCCUUGCGGGCGAGAUAGCGAAAGGAAGCGCCGACACGGUGGCGCUUCAGUGCCGAAUGGCGGUGUGUGGAUGGCAAAGGGCGUACACGGACAUGCACCGUACACGCCGCGAGUGGUGUGUGUUACGCAGGUGUGUGCCUGGUCGUGCGUACGUGCGCCAACGGUGGACAGAGCCCGUGCCCCUGCACUCAAUGGCCGUGACUUUGGCCCCGCGUUGUCGCCCGUGACGGAUGGGUGAGCCUCCACAUGGAGGCGAACGUGUGCGUGUGCGUUUCGGUUUGUCUUCUUUGUGUUCUUUUUGUGCCCCUCCCCCUCCCUCUCCUGUCCUCCUGUUUUGUGCUGCCGAUCUUGCUGUUGUUGUUGUGCUCAUGUUUCUG